CAAUAAUAUGCCAGCAUGAGGAUGCAUAAUGGACAUUAUAGUUUCUAGUCUGAUGUUGUGUUGCUUCACUGUAGUGUCUCUCUCCAUAGUGUCAGCUGUUUGGUCUAUGUGAGUGUUAGUCCUGAGACUGAUGUUGGAGCGGCCCAGAAGGAUAUCUUUGGAAAGCUGAGUCUAGCCUUCACCUCUGGCCAAGUCACCCUUAUUGCAGACCCCAGCAGCCUCAGUGUACGCCCCAUAGGGGCUUUCCCCAAUGCAACAGCUUCUCCUCCCACUGACACCAACACCACUGCUGGCUCACCAACCAGCACCACUGCUGGCUCACCAACCAGAACUACUACUGGCUCACCAACCAGCACCACUGCUGGCUCACCAAACAGCACCACUGCUGGCUCACCAACCAGCACCACUGUUGGCUCACCAACCAGCACCACUGCUGGCUCACCAACCAGAACCACUGUUGGCUUACCAACCAGAACCACUGCUGGCGCACCAACCAGAACUACUACUGGCUCACCAACCAGCACCACUGCUGGCUCACCAACCAGAACCACUGCUGGCUUACCAACCAGAACCACUGCUGGCCCACCAACCAGAACUACUACUGGCUCACCAACCAGAACUACUACCUGCUCACCAACCAGCACUACUGCAUCAGACCCUGGCUCUCCUUCAGAGACACACCAACCAUCCAUUGGAGUGCCUGCAAAUCCCACUGGCCUGUCUACAACCAGAGAAUCUUUAGACUUCAACUCAACAAAACCUGGCAUUGCAUCCACCUUCUACAGAGUUAAUAUGAAACUGAAUAUGACAACGACUGUAACUGGCAACGACCCAGGGGAGACCAUUCAGAAGUGGGUAAGAAACACAACAACAACAGCAUCGGCACUGGAGGAUGAUAAACGUACAACAAUAUUCUCUUCAGCCCAACGGUCGACACAGCGUCUUUUUGUCUGGGUUACAGGUUCAGAGAAACCUUGGGAAAGUCAAGAUGAACGUAUUAAACAUCAAUAUUUUAAACUCGACUUAUAAGUAAGUCCUGGCAUUAACUGCAUUAUGACAUGCUGUGUAGCAUAAGAAAAAUAAGAGCCUGAGGUGUGCCUUUUAACGGGGGCUUGUUCCUUGUGUUUUUGUUGUAGAGUCAAUGAUCAUAAAAAGAUUCAAGAACUGGAGAUGGUGAGGCUGUUUUAAAAACAAAUGACUGUAUCAACAUUAAAUCAUUAUGAUUUAAUCAUAAUCGCAGCAGUAAGGAACCAGUUAUAUAUUGCGAAAAUUAAUGAGCAUAAUCUUUAUUACCACACUGUAAGUUUAUGGCUUUCAAUAUGAGUAUUCAAUUUAUUGCCCACUAGCCAUGAAUUGUGUUUGGUUAAGUAAGAUGUAUAGUGCAUAUUUCAUUGUGGUGUCUUCUCUGUUAGACUGCUGAGCUGAGACAUGAGAAAAGGUAAGAGAUGAUAAAAAAGGUAAGAGAUGAUAAGAAUGGAAAGAGAUGAUCAAAAAGUUAAGAGAUGAUAAGAAUGGAAAGAGAUUAUAAAAAAGUUAAGAGAUGAUAAAAAAAGUUAAGAGAUGAUAAGAAUGGAAAGAGAUGAUAAAAAAGUUAAGAGAUGAUAAGAAUGGAAAGAGACUAUAAAAAAGGUAAGAGAUGAUAAAAAAGGUAAGAGAUUAUAAAAAAGGUAAGAGGAUAAAAAGGUAAGAGAUUCUUUAAAAAAAAGUCAAAAAACAGUUGCCAUUUUGUUAUGUAGACUUGAUAGAUAUUGAUACAAACAUGUUGUGUUUUGUUUUUUCCCAACUGGUUUUAGGAUGCUGUUGACAUUUCAGUAACCAUUUUUUUUUACUGAAUCUGUUUUUUUAAAUGUACCUUUUAUUUAACUAGGCAAGUCAGUUAAGAACAAAUUCUUACGAUGACAGUCUACCAGGGAACAGUGGGCUAACUGCCUUGUUCAGAGGCUGAACAACAGAUGUUUAUCUUGUCAGCUCAGGAUUCGAUCCAGCAACAUUUCGGUUACUGGCCCAACGCUCUAACCACUAGGCUACCUGCUGCCCCAGGUUGGUCACCAGGUUGGUUUUGGGUUUUCAUCCCACAUUUUAUCUGUAGGUUUAGAUGUACCUUCCAGGUUGAGGAUGCUGAUGCACGUAACGUCACGACCACUCAAACACUCAUCACUGACCUUCUGUCUGGGAACCAUGUUGAUGAAGAGAUCCAAGUUGACCGCAGAGAUGUCCACGUUUCACAUAUAGGUACAGUAUGGCUGACAUUUGAACUUUCCUCCAUCUGUAUUCGAUUUUCCGAUCUAUUUUAGAGUGAAUGAAUGGUGUCCACCCAACUACUGUCACCAAUCAUACUUUCUCAGAUACUUCCAAUAACAUCUAUAUGUGUCAUAUGACGCAUGGAAGAAAGAAAGAAAGAAAGGAAGAAAGAGAGAAAGAGAGAAAGAAAGAAAGAGAGAGAGAGAACGAGAGAGAGAGAGAGAGAGAAAGAAAGAAAGAAAGAAAGAAAGAAAGAAAGAGAGAAAGAAAGAAAGAAAGAAAGAAAGAAAGAAAGAAAGAAAGAAAGAAAGAAAGAAAAAGAGAAAGGAGGACGGAACGUGCCUGACUUAUUA
rnacentral:lncRNA from 13 species